rnacentral:sRNA from 1 species
CUUUAACAAUCCGGAACAAGCUGAAAAUUUGAAACGACACGUCGUAUUCAUUCUCCGUAAUAAGAAUGAAUAAACGAUGUGUUCGAGUCUCUCAAAUGCUUGCAGUCUGCAGCGUUGUAAAACGCCUGUGG